rnacentral:rRNA from 1 species
GGCCAGACUCCUACGGGAGGCAGCAGUGGGGAAUAUUGCGCAAUGGGCGAAAGCCUGACGCAGCGACGCCGCGUGAGGGAUGAAGGUCUUCGGAUCGUAAACCUCUGUCAGCAGGGAAGAACGGUCACUGUGCUAAUCAGCAGUGAAUUGACGGUACCUGCAAAGGAAGCACCGGCUAACUCCGUGCCAGCAGCCGCGGUAAUACGGGGGGUGCAAGCGUUGUCCGGAAUCAUUGGGCGUAAAGAGUUCGUAGGCGGCACGUAAAGUCUGGUGUUAAAGGCAGAGGCUCAACUUCUGUACGGCACUGGAUACUUGCGAGCUAGAAUGCGGUAGAGGUAAAGGGAAUUCCUGGUGUAGCGGUGAAAUGCUUAGAUAUCAGGAGGAACAUCGGUGGCGUAAGCGCUUUACUGGGCCGUAAUUGACGCUGAGGAACGAAAGCCAGGGUAGCAAAUGGGAUUAGAUACCCCUGUA